rnacentral:miRNA from 1 species
UAUUAGGUUGGUGCAAAAGUAAUUGUGGCUUUUGACAAUGGCAAAAAACACAAUUACUUUUGCACCAAUCUAAUA